UUUAGCCCCGAUUGCAACGGAAAUCCUUUUUUGGGCGCGGCUGGCGCCGCGCCCAAAAAAGAUUGCAGUGCAAAGCGGGAC
rnacentral:sRNA from 1 species